rnacentral:rRNA from 1 species
AGCGGCGGACGGGUGAGUAACGCGUGGGAAUGUGCCCUUUGGUACGGAACAACUGAGGGAAACUUCAGCUAAUACCGUAUGUGCCCUUCGGGGAAAGAUUUAUCGCCAUUGGAGCAGCCCGCGUUGGAUUAGGUAGUUGGUGAGGUAAAGGCUCACCAAGCCUACGAUCCAUAGCUGGUCUGAGAGGAUGAUCAGCCACACUGGGACUGAGACACGGCCCAG